ensembl:lncRNA
GUUUGCUCUUUGCUGAAGUGCAGUGCCAAACUCGACGUGAUACCGAGAGGGGCUGCCCCUGCCUGCGCCGCGUCUCUGCCUCCCCAGCCCGGGUUUCCUAGCGCCCAAGGGCCACCGCCCAGCUCCGGCUCGUCGUCCUGCAUUCAGGUUCACGUUCCAGUUAAUAACAAACGUUACUGCUCUCCUGAGGCGCAGGCCAGAGCGGGCACGCUUUACACGGAGGCCCAGGCGGGCACGUUACGCGCAGCUGCCCGGCGGAAGAGGAGCUGCUCCCGGGAGGAAGAGCGAGGAGCGGCUCCCGGGAGGAAGAGCGAGGAGCGGCUCCCGGGAGGAAGAGCGAGGAGCGGCUCCCGGGAGGAAGAGCGAGGAGCGGCUCCCCUUUGUCUGCGCGGGCCGCGGGCCGGUGUCGCUCCCGGCCGCCAGGCGGCGCUGCGGGCCCCGGCGGAGCUGAGGGCAGCGCCCGGAGCCGGGCCCGGCAGGGACCCGACGGACAUGGCGGGUUCGGCCGCUGGGAAUCGCCCCCAGCCCCGGAGGGCAGCAUGGCAGCACAAAUGGAUUUGCUCCGAUAAAAACAGAUAGGCCGGACUAAAAAAAAAAAAAAAAAAGUGGUGGUUGGGUUUGGGUUUUGGGUUUUUUUUUUUAAUCACGCUUGUAAUCUCAUUCGCUCUGAAAGGUAAAUAAAUUGCAGUUGUGUGAAAAACAAUUGGUGCUACAUGUGUUCAUAACAGAUGGGAUCUUAUCACAGUUUAACUGUAAUAAAUUCUGACUUCUGGAAAUUGUAAUCUCUACUCCAUGCUGGAUGUCUCUUUUCUACUGUAAUAAUAGGGCUACAAACUCUUGAGAGCAAGCAGAAAACUUUUCGGUGCUAGCGUUGCUCAAGAGCCAGGGCAUGCUCCUGCAGCCUCUUCCCAACUGCAGCUCUUUCAAAGUUUGCGUGAAAACGCAUCUGGAAAUCAAAAGGGACCGAAAAACCUGGCGCAUAGGGAGACAAACAGCUGAUCCUUCCCCCGCUGGGUAACAUUAUUUACUAAGGCCAACGAUAAUAGUCCUUAAAAUACAAGCAGAAAACCUAAGAACGAGCUCUCUGUGUGGAGAAGCCCUGGCAAAUGACAGAUCACGCUUUGCUUUGUGAAGAGAGAAAAUGUGAGAAAAAACCGAGCCCCCGAGGAAGGGGGAACCAAACUUUAGAUUAAUUCCCCCUGCGCUUCAGCUCACAAAAUUAAAAAAUAAAUUUGAAUAACCACUGAAAGGAUAAAAUUAUAAUAAUAAAUUGUCCAUAUUCACUGAGGCUGCGGGACUAAUUAUUUUCACCAUCUCGGCUUCCCAUUGCUGUUUAUCAAGUCGCAGGAUAAAUGCUUGUAAAUCCAUUACAUUACCAUAAAUCCUUUCGCCACUUUCUUUUUGGCCAAUGCUUUUGCAACAUUAAUUGAUUUUAUUGCACUUCCUGAAGUCACUGUUUAUUAAACUCAAGCAACUUCUCUCUGGAAGCGUUGGGUUUUUCCAUCGACAUACCAAACCCGUGAACGGGAAUUACGGAGGCUACUAUAGGAUCUAGUCCCUUCCGCCCCACGCUGUGAUCUCGAUGGCAAAUGCGAACUGCAAAUUACAAGUUUCUAACAAUCUACGCUGUUACAGAAAACAGCCCCUUUAUCGCUGGUGAAAAACUAGUCUAGAUCCAAACACCACCUUUCUCCAUUGGUUUUAAACGGGGGGAGGAGGCAUGAAAUGCUACUGGGCGAUGGAGAUCUAACACACUAAGAAACACACUGCGAGUCUUUUACAUUACUUGAUGGACAGCAGUUAUUUUUAGUAAAGGAUUUUCGAUGUGUAACUAGAAGUCCAGUGCAAUUUAGAAAUGAGUACACAGGCUCCAGGUUUCUCAAACCCUUCUCCUUUUUUCUUCAAUCAGCU